AGCGGACGCUGGCGGCGUGCCUAACACAUGCAAGUCGAACGUGAAAGGGAGCAAUCCCAAGUAAAGUGGCGUACGGGUGAGUAACACGUAGGUAAUCUACCCCAGAAUCUGGAAUAACCGGCCGAAAGGCUGGCUAAUACUGGAUAGAGCGACGGAAUCCGUAAUUGGGUUUUUCGGGAAAGGGAGCCUGUAAAAAGGCCUUCGUUCUGGGAUGAGCCUGCGUCCCAUCAGCUAGUUGGUGAGGUAAAAGCUUACCAAGGCAAUGACGGGUAGCUGGUAUGAGAGGACGAUCAGCCACACUGGAACUGAAACACGGUCCAGACGACGACGGGAGGAAGCAGUGGGGAAUCUUGCGCAAUGGACGAAAGUCUGACGCAGCAACGCCGCGUGAGGGAAGAAGGCCUUCGGGUUGUAAAGCUCUGUCGAGUGGGACGAAAAUGCUUGGAGUUCACAGCUCCAGGAACUGACGGUACCACUAAAGGAAGCACCGGCUAACUCCGUG
rnacentral:rRNA from 1 species